UACGGAGGAUGCGAGCGUUAUCCGGAAUGAUUGGGCGUAAAGCGUCCGCAGGUGGCAAUGUAAGUCUGCUGUCAAAGCGUCUGGCUCAACCAGAUAAAGGCAGUGGAAACUACAUAGCUAGAGUAAGGUAGGGGUAGAGGGAAUUCCUGGUGUAGCGGUGAAAUGCGUAGAGAUCAGGAAGAACACCGGUGGCGAAAGCGCUCUGCUGGACCUUAACUGACACUGAGGGACGAAAGCUAGGGGAGCGAAUGGG
rnacentral:rRNA from 1 species